rnacentral:rRNA from 1 species
GACGAACGCUGGCGGCGUGCUUAACACAUGCAAGUCGAACGGAAGGGCCCUGCUCUUGUGGCGUGCUCGAUUGGCGAACGGGUGAGUAACACGUGAGUAACCUCCCCUUGACUUUGGGAUAACUUCAGGAAACUGGGGCUAAUACCGGAUAUGAGCUCCUGUUGCAUGGGGGGGGUUGGAAAGUUUCGGCGGUUGGGGAUGGACUCGCGGGUUAUCCGCUUGUUGGUGGGGUAGUGGCUUACCCAGGCUUUGACGGGUAGCCGGCCUGAGAGGGUGACCGGCCACAUGGGGCCUGAGGUACGGCCCAGACUCCUACGUGAGGCAACAGUGGGGAGUAUUGCGCAACAGGCCGACGCCUGAUGCAGCAACGUCGCGUGCGGAAUGACGGCCUUCGGGUUGUAAACCGCUUUCGCCGGUGACGAAGCGUGAGUGACGGUAAUGAGUAAAGAAGCACCGGCUAACUACGUG